rnacentral:tRNA from 1 species
GCCUGGAUGGCUCAGUUGGUUAAGCGUCUGACUUUGGCUCAGGUCAUGAUCUCACAGUUUGUGAGUUCAAGCCCCGCACUGGGCU